GAUGAAGAACGUAGCGAAAUGCGAUACUUAAUGUGAAUUGCAAAUUCAGUGAAUCAUCGAGUCUUUGAACGCACAUUGCGCCCCCUGGUAUUCCGGGGGGCAUGCCUGUCCGAGCGUCAUUGCUGCCCUCAAGCACGGCUUGUGUGUUGGGCCCCGUCCUCCGAUCCCGGGGGACGGGCCCGAAAGGCAGCGGCGGCACCGCGUCCGGUCCUCGAGCGUAUGGGGCUUUGUCACCCGCUCUGUAGGCCCGGCCGGCGCUUGCCGAUCAACCCAAAUUUUUAUCCAGGUUGACCUCGGAUCAGGUAGGGAUACCCGCUGAACUUAAGCAUAUCAAUAAGCGGAGGA
rnacentral:misc_RNA from 1 species